UCUGCCUUACAUAUCUCAUGGCCUGCCUAAUUCUUUUAAUGUCAACUAGAAUAUCGGCUACCAGCUUUUGUUAAAGUCUUUUAAAAAAGGCCCCUCACCAGGUGCUGUAGCAAAUUUUGGUCAUAUGCUGGAAGCUGUUAGAUGGCCUCUAGGGAACAUUCUACCGCUACAAUUUUUCAAAUUGGUUUGUUAACAGCAGAGAUAGAAACAUUUAAACAGUCACGAACUCAUGAUUCCAGAAGGCGAGCUUCGCUGCCAACAUACACUCUCUCCACUUGCCCCCGUCUAGCCUCUGCAAGCGAAAUUCCUUCCCUGCGUUCUCCCAUACCGGAGCCAGAGAAGUGCGUAAUGAAUAUGUCACGGGCCCCGCCUUCCUUUUUUCUCUCUCUCUCUUGCACGUUUUUGCUGUGUGGUGCACUUCCGGUGACGGUCUAAUGCGCAAACUGCUGCGUUUGUCUAAUUUUGCAGGCUGUGCAUGCAAACGUCUGACUAGUGGUGUGAUAAGCCAGUGCUAGAUGAGCACUAAGGCAGAUGCAAGCCUAUAAAAGAACACGAUCAUGCACAGAAACCUGUUAGAAGGUGGCAGAUAGUUUCGCUUUCUGCGCACAUGGCUGCACGACGUGGGAAGCAGACGAAGCAGAAGUAUGUCCCUUUUGCUAUGGCACGUAGUAAAACGAGAGUUGCAGAUAUUCAGUGUGUAGGUUUUAUUAAUUCUCUAUAUAUUGUCUAAUGAAGCAACCGAUAAAACAGAUAACUGCUAUAGCCUUGAAUAAUUCUCAAAGUCACAUGCUUAACGGUGAGUGACGUUUCAGCAAUGCGAAUUAUCUAGGCGCACUUAUGCGUCUGACCUCGACAAUCCGGCUUACAGUGCCGCUCCCUUGAGAAGGCCACACGACGUUUGGUUUGAAAUUUCGGUUUUCAUGGUGCACAGCAGUGCAAUACUUUGUCAGUGUGCAUUGUGUACAGUGCUCUUGUCUGUUAAAAAUGGCCACACCUGGUUAGAAGCCCUUCAACAUUAUGCCCCACACUUUCUGUUCCAUCGCUCAUUGCACUGCUCUUAACUACUUCUCAAACUCCUCGAGUGUAGUGUUUGAGCCAUGGCUUGCAGGGCUGCACAGUAACGUCACCGGCCGCUGUGUUGCAGCCCAUACAGGCACAGCGAGUUUUUGUACAGUGUACCGUCACAACAUUGUCGUCACGUGUGACAACAAACACAUCUGAGUGUCACUGUUCUCACAGCAUGCUGAAUCUUCUCUUCUUGCUCUUGUAUUAUAUUUCGCUUUGCAAUCGUUUUAUGUGGCCUUCCGUCCUUUCUGUUUUUGUUAUUAUUUCAAUGGAUGACUGUGCCUUACGAGUGUUUUCUUGCUCAUUGUUUAGGGCAGUCCUUCAGACCUGAGUUCAGUCUAGGACUUUGGCUACACCAGUCCUGUGUCAGUUGUUCAUAUGCCUAGGGAUACUUGUUGCAAUCAGUCAGCUCAGUGCUGCAGACAUCCUCAUUAAGUAGCUUUCACUUGGCAGCAGAGACUGUAUUUAUGCAGCAAGACCCCGUUAACUCGAAGUUGUAGAAAUCGGUGAAAACUUUGAAGUAAGCAGAGUUUUGAGAUAAGGUAAUUUACAAAAAUACUAUAAGCACCUGACCACACCACAAGACCACGUAGAGCCUUUCGAAAUAGGCGCCAGUAGCCACUAAAUUCCUUGCAAAAGCUCAAUACACCAGGAGCGGUAUUUUCGGUAGAUGACCUUUGCCAAAUAACACGCGCGAGAUAUCAUUUUUUGUUAGAUAUUUCGCACGGUUUGUGGUGUCGUGCUGACCCUGCAAUCUCUGUACAAUCGUUUAGCAGCAACGCUAAUGCAUUUGUGCUCGACACUCAUGAUGGCAGUGGCAAGAUUGCUUCCCUCGCUCCACUUGCAAAUUCAAUUGAGCGAAGCGCGUCUGCUUGGAUUCUUGGUCAUUUUGCAGCCGAGCUGAUAGUGCGUCGCUUGUGGUUAUUUGCGGUUAAGACGCGGUUAUCGAAUGCGAGGUCUACACUUACCUGCAGCGUCUCAGCGCGUGAAAUCUGAGCAGAGCGAAACGUAAGGGGCCUUCAGCUAAAACUGUCUAUUAUCAAUGAGAUCGCAGCCGGCUCUGAACAGCCGGCAGCUGUUAAGAGCAGUGCAGAAUCAAGUGGAAUUUGCUACAAACUUUCUCGCGGUCCUGUCGCUUUUUUCCGAUAUCACAGCAGUGCACAAAGUAUGGAAGCCUUUGCAUAGCAACUUUUUCCGCAAUGUUUUCUCGGUGAAGAUUUCGAGUUAUUCAGAGUGUGGCUCAAAAGCAUUUUGAGAUGAUCGGUGAAAAAUACAUUGAGUUCGCAUAAAGCCAGGAAAAAAAAAUUAUUGACUUAACUGAUAUUUCAAGAUAUAAAAGUUCAGUUAAUGAGGGCUUACUGCACACUUGAACCAUGUUUUAGUGAACACAAAUAUAAGAAAUUACUGGAUACAAUGAAGGGAAUCUAAAAUUUGUCUCUAUUUCAGUGAGUAUUCUACUGCUAGAAUGAAAACAAAAAUCAGAUCAAACACAGUGUUGGUUUUAACAAAGCAAAUGUUUGUUUGCACGUGACUCAAUAUGUGUGUAUUCUGGUAGGAAAAAUCUCCCUCUCCAAGAGCAAAAUGAAACAGUACAACCUGGAUGCAUGCGAGUCUCUUGGCUAGCAAGUUCCGUGCGAUCACCACAAUCGCAUAAUUGUGCAUUAAGGAUGGUGCCAAGCGGGUGUCUAACUGGGUGCGUUUUUCUGUGCCUCAUAUUAGCACAAUCCACCGAAAGGCCACCAAAAUUGACAGAAGAUCCUUUGCUAGCUUGCAAGAGGCAUCAUAUUCACACACAACCUAUUGCAAGAUUCUUCCUGCCGAUAUCAGCAUGUGUGCUUAAUGUGUAUCUGAUAUGACAAAGGUCUUUUUCAUGUAGAAUGUGGUUUUGUUAUAACUAGGUUAGACUGUAUCGAGAAACCUUCUGUGGAACACUUGAAUGCCCACUUGUGUUUCAUAGGUGCUCAAAGCUUAUUCAUGUUUGGUUUUAACGCGACAGCAUUAAGAAGCUCAUGUCGCAGAAAAGCCGGUGUCGUCGGCCGUAAGCGAAAAAUCCCAGAAGGCAAUUCAUAAAUAAAAACAACUUGCAAGAAGGGCUCGGUGGGAAUCGAACCAGGGUCUCCGGAGUGUGAGACGGAGACGCUACCACUCAGCCACGAGUUCGAUGCUUUAAAGCGGUACAAAAGCGCCUCUAGUGAAUGCAGUGUUGCCAUAGAAAUGAGCCGUAGAAAGUUAUACUGCGGUAUAUAUCGGUAAUUAUGAACAUGUAACUUACAGAAGUCGCAGUUACACGAGUAGCGAAGUGCGUUUCUGCUACAUUUCUUCAGCGCUUUCCGCACACGCAGAGCCAUCUUGCGGCAAACACAGAAGACCCCCUCCUCUCAAUGUACGGCGCUGCCCCGACAGGUGGCGCGCCACUCGCGCAUUGGGGUUUUGCGGGGACAGGUGCGAGGUGCGUCGCGUCCCGGACUCCUCUCCCCUGACGACGUUUCUCCUUGCUCCCUCACGGGUUGCAGAAUCAAGCGUCCUUCCAUUCUUUAGAUCACUAUCUGUCUUAUCUCUCUGCCCGUGCCGAUCACGAUGUUUGGCUGGCGUGCAUCGUUUCCCCGGGGCUCCGAGACACCGAGUUCUUUGGUUCGUUCCGCUUGCUCAGGCGCACGUUUCAUUGCCGUGCCGAACAAUGCGGGGCGCCUCGCAAGUGAUCGCUGCGCUGUAGCACAUUGUCUUACACCCCUUGGCGUGUCGACGGGAACGCUGUUGCGUUCCACUUUUGAAGGCGAAGCUUAAGCGUCCUCUAAUUUUUGUUAGCAUUGCUGCCUUUCAGUGCAAAUCAUGCCAUCCUGCACACAUGUUGAGCUGGAAGAUGCAUGUUUGGAUAUUACCUUUGCAUUUCUUUGUGAAUCCAUAUGUCGGUGCAGUGAGCUGCAUCAAACUCGCCAGAGCUGAUGCAGCUGAUGAUGGCUUUGAAUCUUUUUACACAUUUCUUGCAAGACCUACUUACCAUACGCAUGUGUGUUUGUACUCCUGGACACAUCUCACAUGGAAAGUUUGCAUGGACUGGCAAGUUCGAAAUGGCUUGCCGCAUGGUCCAACCAGGCUCUUUUUCCAUUAAUGUUCAAAAGCUUGGUCAUACACUGGCUAUCUAGCGCGCACUCGAGAUGGAAACCAGAAAACCAUGUGCAAGGUGGGAAGUUUAGAGGGCAUGUGUAGGCUGUGAUAAGUGUGGUAUGCAGGGAUGACUAAGAUUUUCUGAAACUGUGUGUCUUGCAUGGCUCCGAUGUACAAUUUUGUGAGCCAUCAGAUCAUGCAUGGCACCACUGCUUUAGAAGAAAUGCUGAUUGUCAGCGGGCUUGGAUUUUUCGGUUUGGCGAGGCUCGAGUGACUGUGAUAGAUUUUAAGUGAUCUGAAGUGAGGUGUUCGAUGAAACUUGCCUCUGGUAAUCAUAGUCAACGGUAAAACAUUGUGAAUAAGGCUCAUGUACAAGUGCCGAAAUGUCUUGUUAUUGUUUACGGUCGGUGUUCGUUUUACUUUUGACUAUGAUUGACAGCGGUUGAACAAUGGAUGUCGCAGGAGGCAACUUCUCCAGCGAAGCUGUUAAGGGGAGUUCCGCAGCAGUUUUCGUGUGGUGGUGAAUGCUGGUGUACGAUGGCGGUGUCGAUAUCAAACGUAAAUGCAAUGCAAGGAGUGUCAGGGCCCUAAAUUUUCUUUGAAACAUAAUGAUGAAAUGAUUAUGAAAUAAAAGUUACCUCGCUAUGCGUCAUUCGAAUAGCCAACUUAUAUGCGAAUUUUUUUUAAGACCAGUAAUCCGUCAUUUUUGCUUCUCUUGUCGCAUUAUGCCAGCCUCACAUUGGAGGUCAGCUAGGAGCUUGCACGGCUGUAGCCGUGAAGGCUGAAGUUGUGGUGCUGCAACACAGCCUAUGUGGGAGCUGUUACCAAGAACAGCCAGCCACGACUUAUGCUUCAAUGCUAGCGAGGUCAUGAGCCAGCAAAAAGACCCAUAGUACUUCCCAAGGGUGCGCGAAGUCGCUUAUUGAGCUAUGCUGCCUCGGAUGUAUCAGUUGUCAGACUGGCAUGCAUCUGUGAAUAACUUUUUGCGACGAGGGCAUUCCAUUUUGUCAGUCGACUAGACGAAGGCAAGUGUCCUUGUCAAUAUGUUGGCUACAGCGACAUCCCUAGUUUGACAGUUGUUGAUCUCUUCAAAUCACAAUCUUCUUGUGAUCCUCUGUCCUGUAAUGGAUUUUGCAUUGUCGGUACAAGUUCUGCUUUUGAACUUUUAGAGGCAGGUUACCUGCACUUUGGUGUAGUGUUUGUUUACGGCAAAAGUGUGUGUAGUGAAGUAUAAUGAGAAAGUGGCAAAACGUUGGGAGAAAUGCUUUUAUGCUUGCCAUGAUGCUUAUUUUUUAAACCUUUAGCAACUUCCACAGUUGUAAGUAUGAGCACUGGCACUGCGCUUGACUUUCCAUGAAGGGCAUGCUCCCAUGGACUACAAAUUUGCCUGCAGCCUAGUUUGUUCUAGAAGAUGGCUGUUAAGGGUUUGUUACACAGUUUUUUGGUUCCCUGUCCAUGUUUAGCCAGUGAUAGCAAGUAGGGUGCCUUUGGCAGUGGCCCAAUGUUUUACCUGCCGGAGCGCACAGGAUGAAGAGAUUCUAGAUUACACAUGUGUGCUGCCUGCGAGUUGCUUUGCCAAAAUUUUCACACUUGAAGCUGUUGUAAGUAUCGAACACAUUUUGAUAGAACCAUGCAGAAAGGCACAGGGAAAAAAAGAAAUGGUUGCAGCCUGGCUAUAAUAGACACUGCAGUCAAGUGGGGGCUCCAGAUUAAUUUGGACCAUCUGCGAUUUUAAUGUUCACUGAAUGCUCACUGUAACAAGUGCUUCCAGUCUGCUGCCGCUGCUGGGAAUUCAACCCACGACCUAGUUCUAGCAGACUGUGCUGUAUUAUAAUUUGUGCUGCUGUCCUGUAUAUUUCAUGUGGUGGCUUGUGGCAUAUUAGUACGUGGUGCCAGUGCAUGUAAACAAUGCACAUAGGUGGGAUACAAAAAUGCUGGCAAGAAGAGCCACAUGUAGCUACAUGCUACAUGUAGUGCUAGUUAAAUGUUGUGAAAAAUGUUACAUUUUUACAUGAUGAAUUUUUGAUGUAUCUCAAGUGGUGCAACUAUGCAACAAACAAUUUAUUUAAUAAACGAAAAGAAAGGGGGUUAAUCGAGGGGCCCAAUUUUUAUUAAUUAUCAUAAGAAGCCAACAAGCACUGAUGCCAAGGACAACGCACGCGAAAUGCGAAGGUUGUGGGGUCGUUCCUUACCUGCAUUCCCCAUCCACUUUCAUUUGCAUUAAUUUAUCGUUUCUUUAUUGUGUUUAUUAAACACAAGUAAUUUCCCCUAUGUUGUCCUUGGCUUCUUAUAAUAUGACUAAUAAAAAUCGAGCCCCUCGGUUAACCCCCUUUCUUCUCGUUUAUUACAUAACGAGGGUCUCAAAUCCGGCAACGUUGAUGCCUUGAGGUAGCAUGUGUGGGUUUAUUGACCGGUUUGCCUUCACCCAGAAAGAUAACAUUCUCAUGAUGACUGCGGCAAAAAGGACGUUCCACAUCCGCCCCCAAGGUCUGUGUAGUUAGCCAGCGCCCCCAAGGUGGCGCUGGCUAACACUCCCAUGGUUCUACUAGGAAACAUAAAUGCCCAAGAAAGCGGAUGGGGAAACGGCGCCACGGUAGCUCGAUUGGUAGAGCAUCGCACGCGAAAUGCGAAGGUUGUGGGAUCAUCCCCCACCUGCGGCAAGUUGUUUUUUCAUCCACUUUCAUUUGCAUUAAUUUAUCGUUUCCUUAUUGCAUUUAUUAAAGACAAUUUCCCCUAUGUUGUCCUUGGCAUCAGUGCUUGUUGGCUUCUCAUGAUAAAACAAUUUAUUUGUCACUUAUGUUACAGACGAUCCCUACGAAAGAAUAAGGGGAACUGAGGGCCGGAUUUCUUGUUUGUUACAAUCACCUUGUCAAAAGACAAUGAAGCCAGCAAAAGCAUAGGGUUUUGCUGGCUUCAUUGUCUUUUGACUUCGUGCAGUUAGCAAAGACCCCUGUGCCUUAAUACCUAGUGACUGUAGGGUAUUAAAAAUUAUGGUGCUGUUCCCUUAGAUGGUGCCUGUUACUUGGCAGCAUUGCUUAACGGUGAGUAUUAGUUCUAGAGCGAUAGCUUAAGCAGCUGAAAAUGGCCUAACAUUUCCGAGAGUUCUGCACGAGUCUUGAUCAAAGAGCAAAAUCUCAACUGAUGUAGGUACUUUUAUUCAUAUUUUAAUUGCCUGUAAAACGCAGUGGGCACAUGCAAUUUCUGGCCUCGAGAUCAUU